CUUUCUCCCGGCUCCUGGUUUGUUUAUGUCGGGAAGUGAAGGCCGACAUGGUCCUUGAGGAGCUGGCGGUGCGCCUCAACGACCGGGAGUAUAAAAACUGGCUGAAAGCCGGACGGUGUCUGCUCAUCCUGAAGGAGGGCCUGCACCCCCUCAUCACCCAGCGCGCGCGCGCGUUCCACGGAGAUCUGCUCAAUCAAAACCCUCUGCUGCGGAAACCGUGCGAGACGUCAUCGUGCAAACCGAGAGCGAAUCGGCUUUCCUCAGCAUGCAGGGCGUGUGCAGGGUGGCAGGCGGUGAUCCUGAGACACCGCAGGCAGCCAGACGCCUCACUGAACUGGGACAACUGUUUCCCUCCCAACUGGCGAACAGACCACUGGGAGCUGGCCAAGGCCUUCAUGCCCCGGGGUCAGGGGAAAGUGAAGGGGGCAGAGCAUUGUGAUGCCUCUGCUUUGCUCAACCUGAUCAACCACUGUGAUUGUUUCCAGUUUGUGGACCCAAAGUUUGUGAGAGAGGUGAUCCGUUUCAGGAACGAGUUGAUGCAUUCCUGUGAGUUGCGUGUGAAGGAUGAAUGGAUGAGACGCUACCAGACCAGUGUGAGAAAGCUUGUGCGGCAGCUCAGCCACGUACCACAGAUGGCAAUAGCUGGAAAGCAGAUUGAGGAGAUGCUGAGCGUUGAUCUGUCAAUAUGCGUCUCUGGCUUGGAUCAAAUGGAUUCCGCUGCCCUGGAGGGAUUAGAGUGCGAUUCUGUCAGCCAAUGGGAGACCAGCGCCGACUUGAUUAGCCAAUGGGAGGCUGAAUUGCUACAAGAGAUGCUGCAGGAGUUACUGCAAGCUGCUGACGAUGAUGCAAAGGACACGGAGCAGCUGAAGAGUUUGUCCGUUUUCCUGCAGGCCAACAGAGAUCUGAGUGAGAGCUUUUCUUUAGAGCUCCAAGCCAUCAACCUGUUGGAGGCCAGAGAAUAAGACGGAGUAGGAGGUGCAAGGGAGUCUUUAUGUUUAAUCUCUGACAUAUGCUGCUGAUUGCAGAGUCCUCCUCCUGGAGAGAUGUCAUAUGGGCCAACCACAACCGACCGGUGGUCCCAAGAUAAAUGGGAAGUGGCCAAGGUGUACAUGCCGGACGGCCAUGAAAAACAUGAUUCCCUUGGUGACUUUGACAUCACUAUGCUUCUCUGUGUCUCGUACAUCAAUGCAAGCACUUCACGAAGUUUGAGCUCGGUGGAUUGUGUGACAAAUGCUUAGUCGUGCGCACACAUAGUUCAUCAAAUCAACUGUAACAUAGAAACAAACAUGUGCUAUGGGAUGUAGCCACUUCCUUGAAACCCAUCCCUGCCUUCCACUAACAUCUAUAAGGUCUGUCUUCUUGUCCACUGUGCGUCGGUGGCCAACGUCCCAAACAAUAUCAUACAUGCAGCAAGUUUCCAGUUGGAGCAAGAGGAUCUGUUCGAUUACUUUAAUCGAAUCAGGAAGCUUGGUGAGGUGCUGGAAAAACACGUUCCUGACUUCAAAAGCCUGACUGAAGACAUCGAUGAGAUCCAGAGCCUCGUCUGCAGGCUGAUUUUGCCUGAAAACAUGGCGGCUCAGAGAAGUGAGGGUCAAGAUGAAAAACAACUGGAGGAUAUAGUUUUUGUCGGACACACAAAUCAACCCUAUGUUAGGCUCUCUUUUCCAACAUACUUUCUUUUUAACCGUGCUCUUUCUGUUGACACGUUACAAUUACAUUAAAGUUGAGCUGUUCCGUGUGGUAUUUGUUAUAAAUACAUGACUUAGGACCCAGUGGGGAGUCAGGUGGGAAGCACAACUUGGGACGGGGUCUGUAUCGGGGGACACUCCGUGGCAGGGCCAGGGAACAAAGUCACAGAGGGGCUAUAGAAGGCUUGGUCUGCCACAUCGAUGAUAUAUUGGUGUGGGGGCGGGAUCAAGGAGAGCAUGAUGCUCGGCUCCAUGCUGUGCUGCAAAG